GCAGUAGGGAAUCUUCCGCAAUGGACGAAAGUCUGACGGAGCAACGCCGCGUGAGUGAUGAAGGUUUUCGGAUCGUAAAACUCUGUUGUUAGGGAAGAACAAGUGCCGGAGUAACUGCCCGCACCUUGACGGUACCUAACCAGAAAGCCACGGCUAACUACGUGCCAGCAGCCGCGGUAAUACGUAGGUGGCAAGCGUUGUCCGGAAUUAUUGGGCGUAAAGCGCGCGCAGGCGGUUCCUUAAGUCUGAUGUGAAAGCCCCCGGCUCAACCGGGGAGGGUCAUUGGAAACUGGGGAACUUGAGUGCAGAAGAGGAAAGUGGAAUUCCACGUGUAGCGGUGAAAUGCGUAGAGAUGUGGAGGAACACCAGUGGCGAAGGCGACUUUCUGGUCUGUAACUGACGCUGAGGCGCGAAAGCGUGGGGAGCGAACAGGAUUAGAUACCCUGGUAGUCCACGCCGUAAACGAUGAGUACUAAGUGUUGGAGGGUUUCCGCGCUUUAGUGCUGCCACUAACUACUUCGCCAGACCACCUGGUGAGUACGGUCGAAAGACUGAAGAAUUGACG
rnacentral:rRNA from 1 species